rnacentral:rRNA from 1 species
GGCACGUGAAAUCCCGUGUGAAUCUGCGAGGACCACCUCGUAAGGCUAAAUAUUCCUAAAUGACCGAUAGUGAAAUAGUACCGUGAGGGAAAGGUGAAAAGAACCCCGAUAGGGGAGUGAAAUAGAACAUGAAACUGUAAACUUACAAGCAGUAGGAGGACGACUUAACGUCUGACUGCGUGCCUGUUGAAGAAUGAGCCGGCGACUUAUAAGUAUUGGCAGGUUAAUUGUUGGAGCCAUAGCGAAAGCGAGUCUGAAUAGGGCGUUUGUCAUUGCUUAUAGACCCGAACCCGGAUGAUCUAACCAUGGCCAGGGUGAAGCUUAGGUGAAAUUAAGUGGAGGCCCGAACCGACUGAUGUUGAAAAAUCAGCGGAUGAGUUGUGGUUAGGGGUGAAAUGCCAAUCGAAUCCGGAGCUAGCUGGUUCUCCCCGAAAUGUGUUUUGGCGCAGCGGU